GGGGGGAGGGGUUGCGUGAGGCACUGCGUUGAGAGUGCGAUUUGGCGGCACCGCCGCUCCACACGAAAGCUUUGGUGAAGAUUCAGCAGGCACAUGGCAUCAAAGUAUCAAAGGAAUAAAACGUUAAUACUUGGAAAUGUUGGGGUACUUUAAAAAGUAUUUAUCCCAAUUACUACUUUCAGAAAACACGUUCACUAAGGAUUCAGCAUUUCCUGUUCCUUCAGCUGAUUGGUCUUCUAUAACAGCAGAGGACAAACACAAAUGAGCAACUUAAAGAAAAAAACAGAGUUAAUGGAUACUAGAAUUAAGUGAAAGCAGGAGAAAAUGAGGGAGAUACGUCAAAUGUAAUUUUCUAACUUGUACACUGGCCAGCUAUGCUGGCAGAGGAAGAUGUCUGCUUUGUGCUUCCAGUACUGAAAAUGAAGCAGUGUGCACAUAAAAGUUAUUGGCAGCUGUGCUGAGGCCAGAGGUCGUGCAGCUCUUCAGGCAAGAUUUUAUUUACCUUUUAACCUCCCCAUUUCACCAACUUGGUCAGAGAUACGAUACUCAACAGCAGCAGGAGCUUGCACACAACAGUUUGAGUCACCUAUAGCUGAACCUAAAUAAAAUAGGUAUGUGAAAGCAAUUACAGUAUUUUAUUGUUACAGCUCCACCUUCAUCAUCAGGACAGCGUUAGAAUUUUACAUUGAGACACAGGGAAACCGCUAAAAGCUCUCUCCACUUUCCAACGUUUAAGUGUACACUGGAGUUUCCAUUGCUCCUAGGGCAGCCACACUUUCACAUGCAGCAUUUGUUUGUGUACUUCUUUUAUGUCACCCAGCCCCAUUGCAAUAGAAUAAUCAGGCUUGGAAGAAAAAAGAGGGCUGGGACACAAAUCUCCCAUCCCCUCUAUUCCUCAGGUACUGUGAAUAUGUAUGUGCCCUUGCAAUUAGGGAAUAAGGAAGCUGUGCAUAUCUGGUAAUACCACACAAGCAGGACUAAUGCUAUUGCUGGAAAAGCUCCCACCUGUCUUGUCUAUUUCAAACUCCUACUAAGAUAACGGGAAUAUGUGAUUUUUUUCCUCCCAAUUAUUACUAUUUUUUUUCUGGGAGUUGUAGCUGUGUAGUAAUUUAAGAUGGCAGGUUUCCAAGGCUUUGCAGUGAUUCUAAUUAAUUGGGUAUGUUGUUUAAUUUUUAUUUUAACUUGGGCUUUUUCCUCAUAUUCAAAAGGGCUCCCAUUAUCCUUUAUUAUGAAGGAGAUCAAAGCAAGCAGAAUGGCUGCCAUUUUGCCUUAGUCUGUGGAAGUAACACUGUUGUCUGUGAAAAGGUGCACUGCUGUCCACACCUGUCAGGACUGAAAGCAAUACUACAGGUGGGGUAGCCAUGCUUCUUUGGUCUGGUGAGCUGGGCACAGACUGCGAGCAGCACUGAUGGUCUGCAAGAAGAAUGUGUGAGAAGACAAGGAGCCGGGUCUGGCAAACGCAGUGAAGUGUAACUGGAGAAUGGGGUAAAAGAGUGCAGACUGAAGAGCAGAAAAUCUGGAGGUGGAAACAUCCGCUUCCUUUGCUGGUGUGGAAAAUCAUGCCUCCUUCAGGCAGACUGAGGAGAGAGAACCCACAAAAAUUGCCAUAGUCAGGGAGUUGGAGCUACAAUUGGACUGCUUAAAUUCUCCCUCAUGUUGGAUGGUGGUUACACUAUUGCCCCUUUCACAGGCUUCCUUUCCUCCACAACUUCUCAAAACUGGUGUUUGAUGGGGAAGCAUAACAUCUGCAUUUUUUAUUUUAAAACAAGUGCAUAACAAGACUGCUUAUUGCCACCUGCAGAGGAACCAGAGUCAAUUACAGUAGAACUUGAGGACAGAAAGUGAGAAUAAUGCAGGAAGGGAGCAUCAUAAGAAAGCAAGCUAGAGGAGGAAAACAACUGCAAGACUGCACAACAUUAGGACCAGUAAAAAAAGAUUAAAAAAAAAAAAAAAAAAAAAAAGAGUGCCAAGGAGUGGGGAGCUGCAUGGGAGGCUUCUUAGAUCCAGGGCUGCACACAGAAGGUGUAUUUCAUCUCUCCUGCACAGAUAUAUGGGCACACACAGCCUUUCCUGGCUCUCACCAGCCACAGCCUCCUCCUUACCCUUACAUCAGCUGCAGGGAGGCCCUAGCAAAGAUCCCAAAGAAAGAGCUGCAUAGAGAAUGGAGGGAUGAUGGCAAUGGUGACAGCAGGAAGAGCUGCACAUGGAAAUGGACCAGCAGCAGCCAUUUCCAUGACUUGGCCUCCAGUGGUUUCUGGAACAGAGAACAGCAAAUCUGUGAUUCUGUGAACAGCAAAGCUGGGUGGGCCAGGCUGUUUCUUCUUUAAUACUCAAAUCUGACUGCUUACAAACCCUGUGACUCACUCACUGUCCCAGCUCGUCUUCUGCAAUGGUUGGCAGCAAAGUUAAAUCCAGGUUCACAAGUACAGCUUUGUGUAACCCCCUUGAUGGAAGCCUGCCAGCAGCUUCCCCACGGCUGAGCAGCUGUUGGGAGCUUGGGGUGGAGCUGCAUGGGCAAAGCCCACAAGCUGACUCCUGGGAGCAAUCACAGGACCUCUCAGUAGCAGAUGAUCUCUUCAGAACCACUGAUUAAUCACACAAAAGCAGAAGCAGAGGAAGACUCAAUUGCUCAGGGGCUAAUGAAACAUUUGGCCCACUGGGCUAUUUUCUUUUUGCACAGGGAAGGAAUGAUGAUGAGGAUUCUAGUGGAUUUCAUCACGCACUGACAACUGUUAGCAAAACAGCAUGUUCUCCCCCACACAUGUGAAACAACAAGCAAAAACCCCAGGACUUCCCUUUUAAUCCCGCACUAAACUCCCAGACCACUAAAAGAAAGUCAAAAGUUUGUUGGGUUUUCCUUCCUUCCUUCCUUCCUUUCCUUCUUUCCCCUGAAAGAGAGCAAGAUGUUCUGUGGUUGCUGUUCUAGAUUCAUUGACUGUGCUAAAGAAAGCACGUUCCCUCUCAAGAGGCCUGAGCAGCUCAGUUCUACUGUUUGUUUCUGCUGCUUGGACUGCACUUGAUUGCUGCUGCUGGCUUACUUCCUGUCACUGGGAGCCUUGCAGAGCUUAAACCAGCCCUGGCAGCAAUUCUUCCUUACAGUCUUGCUUCCACAGGCUAACCGUAGCACAGAGAGCAAUGAAAAUACGCAUUAAGGCUACUCUUAACAAGAUGUUCCAGACCAGGGCUGCGUUCAAGAAGACAUCUGUGUUUAUCAAGAGAGUCCAACUCCCGAGUCCUUCUAUUGCAGCAAUUCUUUUGAAGCAGCAUUCAAUGCAAAGACCCUACAGCGUUUUGAAGGAUUUCCUCACGUUAGCAACACUGCUGUGCACAGUUCCAACUGCAAAAAGCCAGACCUGGGCUGCUGUCACUCUGCGCAGUAGAAUACAACUGACAUUCCUAUCCCACACACUCUGCUGGCAUGCAACACGUGGCCUUUGUUUUAAUGCUAAAGGAUCCAGCUCUAGAGUAAGCAACCUGUUUUCAUGUGCUCAUUUUUUCCCCCAUACUCCAUCUUACAUCAUUGUGUAGCUAAUCCAGGGAAGCUCAAACUGAUGCGUGCCACCAGCUAUAUCAGGGGGAUGCAUGCACAUCUUGCUGAAGCAUUCCUAUUCCUUUGUCACCCCGUGAUGUCAUGUUUAUUUAAUUUACGUCUUAGGCCAUGAUUUGGGAGUAUUGCUUUGGGUACAAUAAAAAGGCACUACGCCUGCCACAGGACCGGGGCUAGAGAGCCUUGAUAUUAGCGCUCAGUCCUGUGUAUUGGUCAGAUUGCAGAAAACAAUAUCCUUUCUGUAACAGCCACUCCAGUUUGGUAUAUCAAAAAGCUGAAGAAACACGGUGUUCAUUCAGCCCACAGUGGGCAUGUGCCAAAUCUACCCCCGAAUUCACACAAAAUGCUGAUCUGGCCGCAGCCCACUGGCACAGCGUACUUUUCUCACUUGCACAAUUGAAAUAAAAUUCAGUAUUCAGCAGAAGCUUUUUUUCCCCCCUUUAAAUAAAUCAAAAAUGCAAAAGACCCUUGAAAACAGACAGUACUUUAAAGGUGUACUUUACUUUGACCCGACUUCCCCAUUGGUUGCCUAUGGUACCAUAUGCCUUACAUUAAAAUCAGCUCUCAUUUUUAUAUUCUGUGUUUCAGGCCCUCUGUAAUGGCUACAUUCCUCAUUAUUCAUGUUUUAGUUUGGUUCUAUGCUCCAUCAGCUUUUCUGCACAAAUUCCAUGCAUAACCAGCAAAAUACAAGCAACGAUUUCACACAUCCACUGUCAUUAAAUCUUGGCUUUCAGCACACCCUAUCAUCUAGAAGUUGCCUGUCUCAGGUAGAAAGCAAGAGAAGGGCUGUUUCAUGCUCACAGUUCUCCUACGAGGUGACAUAUCUAAUAUUUCAGAAAAAGAAAACAAAACCUGACAAGGCAGAUGAAAAGGCAGGAGCUGGUAUCGCAGCUAGGCAGACUGAAAAUGGAGAGAGAAACAGGGUUAGGAACAUCAUAAAAACUUCUGACAUUGGCACAUCAUGGUAUGAAUUUAGGAUACACCAGCAAUUCUGCCCUGAGUUCCUAUGCAGAUGCUUAUGAGCUAUUCUUCCUUACUUUCAUGUCGUGUUGAAAAGCAUGGCACAUUUGCCCGCAUUGUGAGUGAGACUGGAGAAGCUUAAAUGCCAUAUAUUAAGGUGUGGUUUUUUACAUCCUCACUCCCCAGGUAUGCGUGUCCAGACUUGCAGCAGAAAUCAAUAAGAAGUGUUGUGACAAGAGUCAGGUAAACAUCUGUCAGUCCUGCUACGUGCUGCAGUUCCAUCUACAUCCAUAGGCAUGCAGACAAGAUCUGGAAGAAAAUAUCUGAAAGCUCUGAAGAACAGCAUAUCCUUUUAAAAAAGCAACAGGAAGAGUCUCCAGAUUGGAAACCUCUCUGAAAAGAACCGACUACAGUGGCCAAUGCAGGGUGGCGCCGUCUCUAGCACAGUUGAACAGUUCACUGGCAGGGACUUGUUCUGUUCUCCUGGGAGCAGUUUGUACUCUACGCUACCUUCUCUCUUAUCUUACUCCAAUUUCUACAGAUGCCAAACAGAUUACAGAGAGGAGGAUAAGAAAAUGAAUGACAUGAGAACAAGACUCACAAGCCAUUUUUUACAUAAGAAGAAUGUAGCUCUGCCUUAUGCAAGAGCAACCCACCUGUAUGAUCCAGUGGCCACCUUUUCACCAUCUACCAUCAGGAAUCGAGAUGCCAGUGUACCUCUGAUCUUCCCUGAUUGCAUGUAGAACCCAACUCCUGUCACAGAACGGAUGCGGAUGUUCUAACCAGGAAGUAAAAAACACAAAAUUUCACAAUAAAUAGGGCAGAGAAUUAGGUAAUUGCCAACUCCAAGUCUUAACACGUCACUCACAUUAUCUCAACUUCUGGGACUACAGCUCAUCAUUAGACACCAGAAAGCAGAAGGGCUGCAGAAAGGAAAGCAGACUGCUGAAAACUCUGUUGUUAUCAUCUUUCAGUACAAGUCACUCCUAUGCAUCAGUUUAGAACCCUGACCAAUAAGUCAGCAUCUUUGUAACUCUGUCUGCUGUCUCCAGCUAUUCAUCUUAGCCCACUGACAAGACAAUGCUUUCCAAAUGAAAUAAUCCGCCAUCUCUAGUCCUGUGCUGUAGAUCAGAAAGCCCAACCCCUUUCAGAGGAAUGAAGCUCUGAGUCACAUCUGUACUCUCUGAAUCCUAAUCCCUAUUCCAUAGCAUCAGCGAGCUCUUUUCCAGACAGUGUUACCAGAACCACAAAACCAAGGAACUUUGCAAGGCCUGUGCAAUCAGAAAGACUCAGAAAGUAUUGUAUGAGGCUUAAAUUAGGUUAUUUUAGGCUUGUGUUCUGAUCCCAAUAACAUAUAGUUUGAUAAAACUGGGCAAAUUAUAGGACUAGGUAAUUUAAUUAUUACAGAAGGGGUGAGGAAAUAGUUAUACCAUUCAAAACAUACACAGAUGUUUCCUGCCUGUUACAACAAAGGAAUCCUGACACCAUUUUGCUAAGAACACCAAACAGUUACAAUGUCUACCUACAUUCAUCUCUGUUCAAUGGAGAGUGAAAAACACAGAAUUUUAUUCUGAAUAAAAGAUGUAGGAUAAGUGUCUCUGCUGAUGUCCCAAAGAGAUCAGCAAAGAAGUAUUUCUGCAGAUAGAGAAAGCAAAACUUUUUAUGAAAUAUACUGAAGUAGUUGGAAGAAGGUAUUAUCUCUCCUCAAACCUCCUGUCUCACACCCUUUUAGCCACUGCACCUACAAAUAAUAACACAAAGCAGUACCAGAGACAGAGAAAAAAAACUGAUUUCAGGUUACCUGAUUUUCUAUAACAGACUUAUGCAUGCACAUAAUAAUAAAAAAAAAAACCAUAUUUGCACGUUAGACUGUGAGUUACUCUGCUCAGACCAAUGCUGAACUCCAUGGAUCCUGGCUGCUCGAGGAUGAAUUGCCAGACAGGUGUACAUACAUAUUACCUAACAUUAAAAAAAAAAACCCCAACACUCAAAAGCACUCACUGCCAGCAAAGUUUGGAGCAAAUUAUCUUGUCAAUCUGACAUACAAAUUUAGACCAUUUUCUUUAUACCAUCUGUUUCUCUUAAGAAUUCUUUUAACAAUGAAAAGCUAAAAGGUAUUGUGAUCUGGAGUAAUAAAUAUAGGGUUAGGAGUCAGACAGUCUCACGUGUAAUCACAGUUCUGGCAGUAUUCCCUGUUAUGUUCUGUGAAAGUCAAUUCACCUUUGCCUCAUUCUUCCCCCAUCUGCAGAACAGGAGAAUCAUGAGGAUUUGGCUAACACUAGCACAGCCUCAGGUCCCACAAAGAUCUAAGUACUAUUAUUACGAACCUAAUUGACAGCUUAAAUAUCGAUAGGCUGUAGAAAUCAUCAUGCAGGAAUGAGUGAUUAUAAGAAUGUGGAUUUCUGUGAAAAAACAGUUUUCUGAAUAUAACUCUUACCUUUUGAAUCUGUUCCUAUUUUCUUCAGUAAAAUACAGCAGUGGCAGUACAAAUUCUGACUAACAGUAACUGAUGAUACUACUAUUUUGCAUUCAUCUACUGCUUGAUCUGUCUGCAGUCCUGUGUGGGCACUAGCUAAUUAAUCCUCCUAACACCAAUGACAGUAUUAUCACCCUGUUUUAAAGAUGAGAAACCUGAGAGACAAAAACGAUGAAGCGACUUGCCCAAGGCCUAGCUAGCAGUGAGUCAUUUGUGUGGGAUGCUGAAUGCAGGUUGGGUAGAGCACAGGAGAAAGGCUGCCCUUUCCAGUAUUUAGAAUAACAUUUGUAGAUGACUGGCUGGCCGCCUAAAAUGAUUGUCUUUUUUCAUUGCUGAAUAAAGCUGGAUUUGGAAUUUGCCAAAUCAUAGAAUCUUGACUGCAGGUGUCAAUGAGGACAUCUGUCCUUCAAAUCAGCCGACAGCUCUGAAAUGUCAUAUUCCUUUCUGAAUCGAGGAGGAUCAGCCUGUGUGAGCAGAAUGUUUCUUAGCAUGUAACAAGUGUGGAUUUUAUUGUUUGUAUGUUAUAUCACCUUCUUUAGGAAGAGAGAAAGCACAUUUGAAUUUCUGCAGUAACUGAGCUAUGCUUAACACUGAGAAAGGCACAGAGGGGAUAGAGCCAAACAGCUGAACACAUAAACCUCCUUGAACAAAGUAGGCACAGGAGUGUAUAAAUGCAUCUUGAAAUGCAGAAAAUAAGCACAAAGUCAUAUAAACAUCAAGUCACUUAAUAGGUUAUUUGUAUAAUGUUUCCUAUUUUGAAGGAUCUUGGAGCACUUGAAGACUAAUAUAUCAAGCUGUACAGAGAAAGAACAAGCCUGGGUUCAUGUACUGAAGAUUACACAACAACAGAAGUGGGAAGACAAAUAUAAACGAGAAGAAUCAAUUCACUUUUCCUCCUGAAGGAGUUAUUCUCCGCAGCAUUCUGAAGGCUAUGAAUGAAGGAAAUUGCUGUUCUCGCCAUCACCAGGAACCAUCAGCUUGGCAGGUGACUGCAUUCACCAGGAAUGAGGUAACACAGGCAGACCAUGACAGUGGCCAUUGGGCCCAGCUGGCUGCUAGCCAGCCCGCUCCCAACCCACCAAAAGAGCAGCUCAGUGACUCCCAGGAAGCCCAAAAAGCAGGAGUUUCACCACCCUCACUCUAUCAACACUUGUUUCUGAGAAGUUGGGAAAACCCAGCCAUGUACAACCCCCUCCUGACCUAUCUGAAUGCUAACUACUUCUUCGUGCUGAACCCUAUUUGGUCUACUGCCUAUCAAGAUGUCAUGAUGGGAAGAUAAGAGACCUUCUGGACCAGAGGAAGCCACACACACAAAACCAAAGGAAUACAGAGGAAACAUUAGUGGGAAGGCCAGAGAACUAAAAUGAUGACAUGAGCAAUUAACUUUGCUCCAGAACAUCAGCACUCAGUGCCAGCACAUCCUGCGUGACCUGGAAUCACCAUCCCUGGAGGUGUUCAAGAAAAGAGAUGCUGCACUGGGUGACAUAGUCUAGAGUGGUCACAGGCAUGGACUGAUGGUUGGACUCAGUGAUCUUAGUGGUCUUUCCAAUUUUAAUGAUUCUAUGAUCUCCCCUCUGCCAUGGAGACAGGAUGCUGUGCCGCAGCCCCACACACUACUCCCCAUGCACUCCUCACACAGAAGAGGCUCCUAUGACUUGCUGCGUUCAGAGGGUUCUGCUUCAGAGGUUCAGAUCCUCAAGCAUAUUUAGGCAUUGGAUUUCCCACUUAGGCAAGGGAGGUCCACCAUAACUAACACUGUAACUAUGACUCCUCAUUAUUUCAUUGCCCUCCAUUCAGCAUGGCACUGAGGCUCUUGUGGAACUGGGAAUUACAAUUCAAUGAACACCAUCCUCUUGCCUCUUCAGCUGUCUUAUUUUCCAAACCUAUCACAUCUGCUUUCAGCAUAGCUACAUCCAGGCAAAUUAUUUCAAUGUCCUCUUCCUUACACUCCUUGUCUUUUGGGGUGGACUGGGGACAAAGCUAUAGGAUAGGGGUCAACAAGUUCAAUAUACACACUUGUUCCAUAAGAACUAAAAGAAGGCCCGAUGUGUUCUUUAUAUCAGUAAAGACAUAAAGCAUUUUUUUCUAUACCAGAUCUUCUUAAAAUCUCUUUCUAGCUUUUCCAAGUUUUUGCCCCUGAUGUAUUCAGUUUUCCCUGCCAGUUUUCUACACUUCAUAAUCUGUGCUUUAGAACAAUUGCAACCUUUUUUUUUGUUGUUGUUUUUCUUUCCCCUAGCUGGCAUACAUUAGAUUUAAUAAGAAAUUAAAAAAAUGAGUAUUCUUAUUAAAUUCUUUAACACUGCCUGAGCUCUACCACCAAUCCAGAACAGGCUGCUGCUUCCUCAGAUACAGACACUGGUGCAAAGGUUGAAACUUCACAGCAUUCUGCCUACUAACACUGCAUACCUUCAUUACAGGGGUACUCUCAGCUCCAUCCUUCUUAAUUGCAAUCACUCUUGCAUACCACAGGAGUGACCCAAACUUCUGGACCAGAUCCUGACCUGAGCAUCAUUGCACUGUGCCAGCAGAGAGGGAAGACCAGCCCUGUCUUACAAACAAAAACUUGAAAAGAGUCCUAAACUCAAGAUGUUUACCUCUGCUGCUCCAGCACAUAUUCUGCUGUGUAAGUGCUUGUGAAACACCUGUGCUCUCCAAGGCACACACAGCUGAAAUGAGAACACACGGCUAUCAUUUUGGUCAGCUGAUGCUAGGGAGUUAAGCUCAUAACACUGCUGUGCUACUCUCCAACCUGAUAAACACGACCGAUAGCAGCACCCCGCCUGGAGAGAGAAGCAUCAGCAACAAGUGGCACCAAUUUAGCUAUCUCACAGGGUAACAAGAUGCCUCUUGCUAUUAUUCUGUUCCCUAACAGAGCUAACAAUGAUAAUAGCAUGAAUGAUUGAGACUUGUGCUGGUGUGAACAUGUUAGGAUCUUUUUUUUUUCCUGCUUUAAUUUACAGUCUAAGAAAUAGCAAACUGUUGUGGCUUUGCUCUUUGAAUGAAAAGCUUGUAGGAGAGCUUCCAUGACGGAGGUGUAGGAUGCACCACCUGCUGAAGAUCUGAGGUCUUUCACCCCUUCCCACCCAUAUCUCCUGAAGAAGCUUUGAAGGGAGGAUUCCCUAUUUGUGCAAAGGCUUUAUGCCAAUCUCAAAGCCAAGUGAGUUGUUUUGCUGAGUAUGCAGCCUCGGAUGAGGUGAUUUAAUCACACUGACUGCCAGCAGCAGAGGCUCUGGCUUCCUCUUUCCCCUUCUGGCUGUGCAUUCCCACCACUCACCCUGCA